CCAAUAGCGUAUAUUAAAGUUGUUGCAGUUAAAAAGCUCGUAGUUGAAUUUCGGGAUCAGUACGCUGGUCGUGCCUCCGGUAUGUACUGGUGUCACUGGUUCCUCCCUUCUGAAGAACCAUCAUGCCAUUCACUUGGUGUGGUGGGGAAUCAGGACUGUUACUUUGAAAAAAUUAGAGUGUUUAAAGCAGGCUCACGCUUGAAUACAUUAGCAUGGAAUAAUGAAAUAGGACGUUGAUCCUAUUUUGUUGGUUUCUAGGAUUGACGUAAUGAUUAAUAGGGAUAGUUGGGGGCAUUAGUAUUCAAUUGUCAGAGGUGAAAUUCUUGGAUUUAUUGAAGACUAACUACUGCGAAAGCAUUUGCCAAGGAUGUUUUCAUUAAUCAAGAACGAAAGUUAGGGGAUCGAAGACGAUCAGAUACCGUCGUAGUCUUAACCAUAAACUAUGCCGACUAGGGAUCGGAUGAUGUUAAUUUUUUAAUGACUCAUUCGGCGCCUUACG
rnacentral:rRNA from 1 species